AUUGAACGCUAGCGGGAUGCCUUACACAUGCAAGUCGAACGGCAGCAUAAGAGAGCUUGCUCUCUUGAUGGCGAGUGGCGAACGGGUGAGUAAUGUAUCGGAACGUGCCCAGUAGCGGGGGAUAACUACGCGAAAGCGUAGCUAAUACCGCAUACGCCCUACGGGGGAAAGGAGGGGAUCUGCAAGGACCUUUCACUAUUGGAGCGGCCGAUAUCGGAUUAGCUAGUUGGUGAGGUAACGGCUCACCAAGGCGACGAUCCGUAGCUGGUUUGAGAGGUGAACGGCCACAUUGGGACUGAGACACGGCCCAG
rnacentral:rRNA from 1 species